UGGUGGGUGUUGAUUUCGAGAUCAAGAACCAUGCUGUAAAAAUCUCCCAAUUGGAGCCUGGAUAUAAGGCGCUUAUCCCUGACUUGUGCCGGGGAAAGGUAGGCUUGGAUGUUGCUGAAGCGCAACAUUUGAUGGAAGAUCUUGACUGGCAAAGUGUUGUUAAGGAUAUACGUGCUUCAGUUAAUUGGCUCAAGGCUAACGGUUCAAAGAAGGUUUGGCACAUCUAGUUCUUUGCUGUUAGAAUCAUGGAUUCUGGAAUGCUUUUAUGCCAAUUGCCUGAUCAUGCUCGUUAGAUAUCUACUGUUCUGUUUUGUCCUAUUUCUACGCUAUGCCCAACAUCUAUAAUUCCAUGUGGUGGUUUUUAAAGAAAUUUAGCAGACAUAAUCUUUAAUUUAUUAAUUUUAAGUUUGAACAUUAGCGUAACAUUCAAAUUUAUGGGAGCAAUCUUGAACUUCAUGCAACACUUAAUUGUGCAUAGAUCCCAGAUGCCCAGUUACGUGUUUGUGUAAAUGGGUUGUAUUGCUGUUGAAGUGAAUUGAGAAAUGGUAUUAUGACUGAA